AUGGACAUGAGGGCCCUCACUCAGAUCCUGGGGCUCCUGCUGCUCUGGCUCCCAGAUUCUAGAUGUGACGUCCAGAUAACCCAGUCUCCAUCCUACCUGUCUGCAUCAGAAGGAGACAAAGUCACCAUCACUUGCCAUGCAAGUGAGGACAUUAGCGAUGAUUUAAACUGGUAUCAGCACAAACCAGGGAAGGCUCAUAAGCUCUUGAUCAAUGAUGCAACCUAUUUGUACACUGGGGUCCCCUCACGGUUCAGUGGCAGUCAAUCGGGGACAGAUUUCACUCUUACCAUCAGCAGUCUGGAGCCUGAAGAUUUUGCAACUUAUUUCUGUGGACAGGAUAACAGUUACCCUCCCACAGUGUUACAUCUCAUAACAUAA